GAUGAACGCUGGCGGCGUGCCUAAUACAUGCAAGUCGAGCGAACAGAUAAGGAGCUUGCUCCUUUGACGUUAGCGGCGGACGGGUGAGUAACACGUGGGUAACCUACCUAUAAGACUGGGAUAACUUCGGGAAACCGGAGCUAAUACCGGAUAACAUUUGGAACCGCAUGGUUCUAAAGUGAAAGAUGGUUUUGCUAUCACUUAUAGAUGGACCCGCGCCGUAUUAGCUAGUUGGUAAGGUAACGGCUUACCAAGGCAACGAUACGUAGCCGACCUGAGGGGGUGAUCGGCCACACUGGAACUGAGACACGGUCCAGACUCCUACGGGAGGCAGCAGUAGGGAAUCUUCCGCAAUGGGCGAAAGCCUGACGGAGCAACGCCGCGUGAGUGAUGAAGGGUUUCGGCUCGUAAAACUCUGUUAUUAGGGAAGAACAAACGUGUAAGUAACUGUGCACGUCUUGACGGUACCUAAUCAGAAAGCCACGGCUAACUACGUG
rnacentral:rRNA from 1 species